rnacentral:rRNA from 1 species
GAUUAACGCUGGCGGCGUGCAUAACACAUGCAAGUCGAACGAUGAAACUUUAAUGAACCCUUCGGGGAGAAUUAAAGCGGAUUAGUGGCGAACGGGUGAGUAACGCGUGAGUAACCUGCCUUACACAAGGGGAUAGCCUUUGGAAACGAAGAAUAAUACCCUAUAAAACCAUAAAAGCACAUGCAAUUAUGGUCAAAGUGAUAGCGGUGUAAGAUGGACUUGCGUCUGAUUAGCUAGUUGGUGAGAUAAAAGCCCACCAAGGCAACGAUCAGUAGCCGGCUUGGGAGAGUGUACGGCCACAUUGGGACGGAGACACGGCCCAGACUCCUACGGGAGGCAGCAGUGGGGAAUUUUGCACAAUGGGGGAAACCCUGAUGCAGCGACGCCGCGUGAUUUAGAAGGCCUUCGGGUUGUAAAAAUCUUUUGUAUAGGAAGAAAAUGACAGUACUAUACGAAUAAGGUCCGGCUAAUUACGUG